rnacentral:rRNA from 1 species
AGUGAACGCUGGCGGUAGGCCUAACACAUGCAAGUCGAACGGCAGCACAGUAAGAGUUUGCCCUUACGGGUGGCGAGUGGCGGACGGGUGAGGCAUACAUCGGAAUCUACUUUUUCGGGGGGGAUAACGUAGGGAAACUUACGCUAAUACCGCAUACGACCUACGGGUGAAAGCAGGGGAUCUUCGGACCUUGCGCGAUUGAAUGAGCCGAUGUCGGAUUAGCUAGUUGGCGGGGUAAAGGCCCACCAAGGCGACGAUCCGUAGCGGGUCUGAGAGGAUGAUCAGCCACACUGGAACUGAGACACGGUCCAGACUCCUACGGGAGGCAGCAGUGGGGAAUAUUGGACAAUGGGCGCAAGCCUGAUCCAGCCAUACCGCGUGGGUGAAGAAGGCCUUCGGAUUGUAAAGCCCUUUUGUUGGGAAAGAAAAGCAGCAGGUUAAUACCCCGCUGUUCUGACGGUACCCAAAGAAUAAGCACCGGCUAACUUCGUG